rfam:Triticum urartu cultivar G1812 contig73183, whole genome shotgun sequence.
AUACCUUUCUCGGCCUUUUGGCUAAGAUCAAGUGUAGUAUCUGUUCUUAUCAGUUUAAUAUCUGAUAUGUGGGCCAUGUGCCCAUAGUGAUAUUAAAUUUAUUUUUUGUGGGGGAAGGACCACCACAAUGGCUUGCCAUUGGGUCCCUUGGGUGUCGCCCGGUGCGUUGCACUACUGCCUGGGCAGGCACACCCCAA